rnacentral:misc_RNA from 1 species
UGACCACUCAAGCCUAGCUUGGUAUUGGGGUUCGCGGUUCCGCGGCCCCUAAAAUCAGUGGCGGUGCCGUCUGGCUUCAAGCGUAGUAAUUCUCUCGCUACGAAGUCCGGGUGGUUGCUUGCCAAAACUCCCAACUUUCUCAA